rnacentral:rRNA from 1 species
AAAAACAUUUCCUUUUUUAUAAAAGGUUGUCCCUGCUCAAUUCAUAAAGAAAAUAGCUGCGGUAAUUUGACUGUGCAAAGGUAGCAUAAUUAAUUGCCAUUUUAUUGGUGGCUUGUUUGAAUGGGUUUUUGAAAGAGUUUGAUGUGCUUGGCUAUUAAUAUAAAUUUUUUAAAUUGGGUAAAGAGACCUAAUAAUAUAAUAAAAGACGAGAAGACCCUAAAAGCUUUAUUUGUUUAAAAAUAAAAACAGAUUUUGAUGGGGCAUUAAUUUUUAAUAAUUUUUAUCUUUUUUUAUAAAGUUGGGCAUAGUUACUUUAGGGGUAACAGGGAUAUUUUAGGCGAAGAGUUCUUAUCGGUGCCUAUUUUUUCUACCUCGAUGUUGAAUUAGUUUAUUAUUUGCUUGUAGGAGGUGAUGUUUUUGGCCUGUUCGGCCUUGAAAACUACAUGAUUUGAGU